rnacentral:rRNA from 1 species
GAUGAACGCUGGCGGCGUGCUUAACACAUGCAAGUCGAACGGUGAAGGCGGAGCUUGCUCUGCUGGAUCAGUGGCGAACGGGUGAGUAACACGUGAGCAAUCUGCCCCUGACUCUGGGAUAAGCGCUGGAAACGGCGUCUAAAACUGGAUACGAGCUGCGAAGGCAUCUUCAGCAGCUGGAAAGAAUUUCGGUCAGGGAUGAGCUCGCGGCCUAUCAGCUUGUUGGUGAGGUAAUGGCUCACCAAGGCGUCGACGGGUAGCCGGCCUGAGAGGGUGACCGGCCACACUGGGACUGAGACACGGCCCAGACUCCUACGGGAGGCAGCAGUGGGGAAUAUUGCACAAUGGGCGAAAGCCUGAUGCAGCAACGCCGCGUGAGGGACGACGGCCUUCGGGUUGUAAACCUCUUUUAGCAGGGAAGAAGCGAAAGUGACGGUACCUGCAGAAAAAGCGCCGGCUAACUACGUG